rnacentral:tRNA from 1 species
GCGACCGUCGUAUAAAGGCUAUUACCCCAGCCUUCCAAGCUGGAGAUGUGGGUUCGAUUCCCAUCGGUCGCU